rnacentral:rRNA from 1 species
UACGUAGGGUCCAAGCGUUAUCCGGAAUCACUGGGCGUAAAGGGCGUGUAGGCGGGAAGGAAAGUCAGAUGUGAAAUCCCCAGGCUCAACCUGGGAACUGCAUUUGAAAACUCCCUUUCUUGAGUACCGGAGAGGAAAGUGGAAUUCCUGGUGUAGAGGUGAAAUUCGUAGAUAUCAGGAGGAACACCAGUGGCGAAGGCGGCUUUCUGGACGGUAACUGACGCUGAGACGCGAAAGCGUGGGGAGCAAACAGG